rnacentral:rRNA from 1 species
CGCGGUAAUUCCAGCUCCAAUAGCGUAUAUUAAAGUUGUUGCCGUUAAAAAGCUCGUAGUUGAACCUUGGACCUGGCUGAUCUGUCCUCCUAAUCGAGCGUACGGAUUCGGUCGGGUCCUUCCUUCUGGGGAGCCCUAUGUCCUUUACUGGUCGUAGCGGGGAACCAGGACUUUUACCUUGAAAAAAUUAGAGUGUUCAAAGCAGGCCUUUGCUCGAAUACAUUAGCAUGGAAUAAUAGAAUAGGACAUCGGUUCUAUUUUGUUGGUUUCUAGGACCGCUGUAAUGAUUAAUAGGGAUAGUCGGGGGCGUCCGUAUUCAAUUGUCAGAGGUGAAAUUCUUGGAUUUAUUGAAGACGAACUACUGCGAAAGCAUUCG